GCCCUCGUGGUGAAAUUGGUAGACACAAAGGACUUAAAAUCCUUGCCAUUUAUGGAGUGCCAGUUCGAGUCUGGCCGAGGGCA
rnacentral:tRNA from 1 species